UACGGGGGGAGCAAGCGUUGUUCGGAUUUACUGGGCGUAAAGGGCGCGUAGGCGGUCAGCACAAGUCAGUUGUGAAAUCUCCGGGCUUAACUCGGAAAGGUCAACUGAUACUGUGCGACUAGAGUGCAGAAGGGGCAACUGAAAUUCUCGGUGUAGCGGUGAAAUGCGUAGAUAUCGAGAGGAACACCUGCGGCGAAGGCGGGUUGCUGGGCUGACACUGACGCUGAGGUGCGAAAGCGUGGGGAGCAAACAGG
rnacentral:rRNA from 1 species